rnacentral:rRNA from 1 species
UGGGGAAUAUUGCACAAUGGGCGAAAGCCUGAUGCAGCGACGCCGCGUGAGGGAUGACGGCCUUCGGGUUGUAAACCUCUUUCAGCAGGGAAGAAGCGAAAGUGACGGUACCUGCAGAAGAAGCGCCGGCUAACUACGUGCCAGCAGCCGCGGUAAUACGUAGGGCGCAAGCGUUGUCCGGAAUUAUUGGGCGUAAAGAGCUCGUAGGCGGUUAGUCGCGUCUGCUGUGAAAGCUCGAGGCUCAACCUCGGGCUUGCAGUGGGUACGGGCUGACUAGAGUGCGGUAGGGGUGACUGGAAUUCCUGGUGUAGCGGUGGAAUGCGCAGAUAUCAGGAGGAACACCGAUGGCGAAGGCAGGUCACUGGGCCGCAACUGACGCUGAGGAGCGAAAGCAUGGGGAGCGAACAGGAUUAGAUACCCUGGUAGUCCAUGCCGUAAACGUUGGGCACUAGGUGUGGGGUCCAUUCCACGGAUUCCGUGCCGCAGCAAACGCAUUAAGUGCCCCGCCUGGGGAGUACGGCCGCAAGGCUAAAACUCAAAUGAAUUGACGGGGUCAUAGCUGUUUCCUG